CCCUUAGAUGUUCUGGGCCGCACGCGCGCUACACUGACGAUGGCAACGAGUUUUUCCUUCGCCGAAAGGUGUGGGUAAUCUUUUGAAACAUCGUCGUGCUGGGGAUAGAUCAUUGCAAUUUUUGAUCUUGAACGAGGAAUUCCUAGUAAGCGCGAGUCAUCAGCUCGCGUUGAUUACGUCCCUGCCCUUUGUACACACCGCCCGACGCUACUACCGAUUGAAUGGUUUAGUGAGGACUCCUGAUUGGCGCCGCCGCCCCGGCAACGGAGCAGCGGACUGCCGAAAAGUUGUUCAAACUUGAUCAUUUAGAGGAAGUAAAAGUCGUAACA
rnacentral:rRNA from 1 species